CAGUGUUCGCCCUGUCGCGAUGUAUCUAUGAUACAGCGAGGAAAGUCCGGGCAACACAGAGCGCCCUGCUUCCUAACGGGAAGGCGCCGGAAGGUUAACCAACCGGUGACAGCAAGUGCCACAGAAAAAAUACCGUCCCGAUUUAUCGGGAUAAGGGUGAAAACGCGGGGUAAGAGCCCACGACGCAAACGGUGACGUUUGUGAUGGUAAACCUCAGGGGUUGAAAGGCCAAAUAGGUCAUGUUUGGAGCUGCUCGCUCCCGGUUUUACCGGCAUGACGGGUAGGCUGCUAGAGCUUUAUGGCAACGUAAAGCCCAGAUAAAUGACAGGGAUCCGCCAUUGGCGGAUACAGAACCCGGCUUACAGAACAGCCGGACAC
rnacentral:RNase_P_RNA from 1 species